UCACAAACUUAUGGAAAGGGGGACUGUCUACUUCGUGCUGGAAGGUCCAGGACUCGCAGGGGGGCUCCUGGCGCUUCACCCCCGCACAAACCACGCUCCCCUUUACACACUGAAAGCGGCAAGGAGAGCCGAGAGACGGGUUUUCCCCAACCCGUUCCUCCUCUCCUUUCUCCCUGCCAGCGACACUGCCCCAAAGUGACUCGCCGCCCGUGUCCGGCGCAAGCCGCGGGCGCCGGCCCGGCCCAGCGCCGCGGCCCGGCGGUAACGCCUCGCCCCCCGGCAUCGGCACUUUUCUUGUUGUUUUUUCGCCUCAUUGGCGCAAGUGCCGCUCAGAGGGUGCGCGGGGGCUUCACCGCACACGCGUCGCUCGGGGGGGCUGCGCGCUGCGUGUCGGCAGUGACCUUCAGCUGGCUGGGGACGGCAAGACCGCGCCGCGGCCACCCGCGGCUCCCCGCGCUCCGCCCCACGCGGGGCUCCGCGCCCCACGCGGGGCCGCCCCGGGCUCCCCCGGCCCCGCGGCCACCCGGCCCGGCCGCCCCCCUCGCCCCCGCUGGGGCCGCCCGAGGCCUCAGGGCGCCCCCGGGCCAGGCUGGCGCACGGGCGCCCGCUCGGCCGCUCCCUCGGCCCCUUCCAACUUUCCCCCCACCCGCGUCCCGCCGCCAGCGCCGCGGGGAGCCGCGCCCUCGCCCGCUCACCUCCUCGGGGUGCCCGGCGCCGCCCGCCGGGGGCCCUCAGGGAGCGGCCGAGCGGCGGCGGCGGCCGCGGCCCCGACGGCGCGGGCCGGUCUCCAUCUUCCGCCGUGGCCGUCGCGGGCGCCGAGUGCAGGGCGCAGUUGGGACAUUGGCUACAUUGUUAGCAUUCCGCGCGCGUCACGUGACCCCGGCGCCCGCGUCAUUCCACUCCCCCCCGCCCCUCCCGGCACAUACCAGCGGGGGGAGGGGCCUCUGGGCGGCAGGGCGGGAAGGGCCGUUAGGGCUGUGGCGGCCCCCGGGGGGCGGGGGGAGCUCCGCUGUGGGGGCGACCCCCUCCUCCGCCCUCAGCUCCCCCCCGCCCCCCCGAGGGCCGCCCUUCCCUGGCUUUAAAACCACCUUGUGGCGCUCUCUCCCUUCUGACCCCCCCCCGCCAUCUUCUCCCCACUGCCUCGCCCCCAACCGCCUCAGCGGCGCGAGGGGUCUUGGGGGCCGCAGGGGUGGGAAAUGGCGCGGGGCAGCUUGCUGGGGCGGUUUACGAAGGGUGUGA
rnacentral:lncRNA from 1 species